UACGUAGGGUGCAAGCGUUUGUCCGGAAUUAUUGGGCGUAAAGAGCUUGUAGGCGGUCUGUCGCGUCUGCUGUGAAAAUCCGGGGCUCAACCCCGGACUUGCAGUGGGUACGGGCAGACUAGAGUGUGGUAGGGGAGACUGGAAUUCCUGGUGUAGCGGUGAAAUGCGCAGAUAUCAGGAGGAACACCGAUGGCGAAGGCAGGUCUCUGGGCCACUACUGACGCUGAGAAGCGAAAGCAUGGGGAGCGAACAGG
rnacentral:rRNA from 1 species